CAGUGGCGAACGGGUGCGUAACACGUGGGCAAUCUGCCGAGAAGUGGGGGAUAGCUCGCCGAAAGGCGAAUUAAUACCGCAUGUGAUCAGGGGAGACAUCUUCCCGAAAUCAAAGGUGGCGCAAGCUACCGCUUUUUGAGGAGCCCGCGGCCUAUCAGCUUGUUGGUGAGGUAACGGCUCACCAAGGCGUUGACGGGUAGCUGGUCUGAGAGGACGACCAGUCACACUGGGACUGAGACACGGCCCAGACACCUACGGGUGGCAGCAGUCGAGAAUUUUUCUCAAUGGGGGCAACCCUGAAGGAGCGACGCCGCGUGGAGGAUGAAGGCUUUCGGGUUGUAAACUCCUGUCAUUUGAGAACAAGUUGGACGCAGUAACUACGCGUCCAUUGAUAGUAUCAGAAGAGGAAGGGACGGCUAACUCUGUGCCAGCAGCCGCGGUAAUACAGAGGUCCCAAGCGUUGUUCGGAUUCAUUGGGCGUAAAGGGUGCGUAGGUGGCGCCGUAAGUGGGGUGUGAAAUUUCGGAGCUUAACUCCGAAACUGCAUUCCAUACUGCGGUGCUUGAGGACUGGAGAGGAGACUGGAAUUUACGGUGUAGCAGUGAAAUGCGUAGAGAUCGUAAGGAAGACCAGUGGCGAAGGCGGGUCUCUGGACAGUUCC
rnacentral:rRNA from 1 species